AUGAAACCAAAUAAAGCCCCGGCUUGGACAACAUCCCUAUUGAAUUUUCUUCAAUACCAUUGGGCAAUAGUUAAGAAUGAUGUGAUGUUGUUGUUUGAGUAGUUCCAUGAUAACAAACUUGAUGUUCAAUGGUUGAACUAUGGGAUUAUUACCCUCCUCUCUAAAAUUGUUGGUGCUAACAAAAUUCAAGAGUUUCACCCUAUAUGCUUGCUUCGUUGCAUUUAUAAACUGAUUACUAAGGUUCUUACUAUUAGGCUGGAACCUUUCGUUGAUAUCCUUUUUAGUAGACAUCAAAAUGCUUUGGUCAAGAAACAAGAUAUCAUGGAUGGGAUUUUGUGUUUACACGACAUCCUUCAUCACUCUUAUGCUAGGAAAAGAACUGGAAUUGUGCUUAAACUAGACUUCGAGAAAGCAUAUGACAAAGUAAAUUGGGAAUUCUUGUUGGAUUGUCAUAAAAUGAGAGGUUUUAAUCCUCAAUGGAUUGAGUGGAUUAGAAAAAUCUUAGUAGUGGGCACGGUUCAUGUGAAGCUGAAUGAUGAGAUUGGACCUUACUUUCAAAGUUUGAAAGGUAUGCGCCAGGGGGACCCACUCUCCCCUUUCCUAUUUAACCUUACUACAGAUUACUUAAUGAAGUUGGUCCUUAAAGCCCAACAAAAUAGGUUGUUUAAAGGUUUGGCGGUUGACUUGAUUCCUAAUGGGGUAGCCAUUUUGCAAUAUGCGGACGAUACGAUAUUGUGUUUUGAAGAUAAACCUAGGAAUGCCCUCAACAUCAAAUUGCUAUUAUAUCUUUCUAAAAUCAUGUUUGGCUCAAGAUUAACUUUCUUAAAAGUGAAGUUUUCUCAGUUUGUGUUGAUGAUGAAACCACAUAGUUGUAUGCUGAGAUGUUUAAUUGUCAAAUAG
rnacentral:rRNA from 1 species